GUGGGUACAGCUCAGUGGUAAAGCGUGUGCUUAGCAUGCACAGGGUCCUGGGUUCAAUCUCCAGUACCUCUA
rnacentral:tRNA from 1 species